AUUGAACGCUGGCGGCAGGCCUAACACAUGCAAGUCGAGCGAGCGGCGGACGGGUGAGUAAUGUAUGGGGAUCUGCCCGAUAGAGGGGGAUAACUACUCGAAAGAGUGGCUAAUACCGCAUACUAUUGGAGCGGCCGAUAUCGGAUUAGCUAGUUGGUGGGGUAAAGGAUCACCAAGGCAACGAUCCGUAGCUGGUUUGAGAGGACUACCAGCCAAACGGGGACGUGGACACGGCCCAGACUCCUACAGGAGGCAGCAGUGGGGAAUUUUGGACAAGGGGGGAAAUCGUGAUCCAGCCAUCCCGCGUGUAUGAGAAGGCCUUCGGGUUGUAAAGUACUUUUGGCAGAGAAGCGGUAUCUGCAGAAUAAGCACCGGCUAACUACGGGCCAGCCGCCGCGGUAAUAC
rnacentral:rRNA from 1 species